rnacentral:rRNA from 1 species
GAUGAACGCUGGCGGCGUGCCUAAUACAUGCAAGUCGAGCGAACGGACGAGAAGCUUGCUUCUCUGAUGUUAGCGGCGGACGGGUGAGUAACACGUGGAUAACCUACCUAUAAGACUGGGAUAACUUCGGGAAACCGGAGCUAAUACCGGAUAAUAUUUUGAACCGCAUGGUUCAAUAGUGAAAGACGGUCUUGCUGUCACUUAUAGAUGGAUCCGCGCUGCAUUAGCUAGUUGGUAAGGUAACGGCUUACCAAGGCAACGAUGCGUAGCCGACCUGAGAGGGUGAUCGGCCACACUGGAACUGAGACACGGUCCAGACUCCUACGGGAGGCAGCAGUAGGGAAUCUUCCGCAAUGGGCGAAAGCCUGACGGAGCAACGCCGCGUGAGUGAUGAAGGUCUUCGGAUCGUAAAACUCUGUUAUUAGGGAAGAACAUAUGUGUAAGUGACUGUGCACAUCUUGACGGUACCUAAUCAGAAAGCCACGGCUAACUACGUG